rnacentral:lncRNA from 1 species
CUUGCUUUGGCAUUUCAGACACUUGGUGUAGUAUACGGUGAUAUGGGCACAAGCCCUUGAUACGUCUUCUUUGAUGUAUUCAGUAAGGUACUCAUAGCGUCAGAGGUCGAUGUCUUGGGAGCUUUAUCGCUUGUAAUGUACACAAUUGCUCUCACUCCUUUAACAAAAUACAUUUUUGUGGUGCUCAAGGCGAAUGAUAAUGGGGAAGGUACUAACUUUUUGCUUAAAAAUAUGGUUUGGCAAAUUCCAUACUAACGACUUCCAUUGUUCGAUUUGCAGGAGAAACAUUUGCAUUAUAUUCAUUGAUUUGUAUGUAUGCAAAUGUUAAUCUUCUUCUGAAUAGUCAAUAGGCAGAUGAAUAUAUAUCGAGUUUCAAGCUCAAACUUUCGACUCCAGAACUUGAAAGGGCUUUGAGUAUAAAAGAUGCAUUGGAACAUAAGUCUUCUCUGAAAACCCUUUUCUUGCUUUUGGUUCUUAGGGGGACAUCUAUGAUUAUAGGGGAAAUUUGACACCGACGAUUUCUGGUAUAUAGACCUUUCGCCUAUCCUAGAACCAAAUAAGAAAAGUAACGAUAUUACAUAACAAUACAUUUUUACUGUAGUAAUGUUUGUUGUGAGCGAUUUUAGGGUCAGAUACCAGGAUUUGGUACAAGUAGGUCAACCGAGUUUCGACAUCUUAAUAACUAGCAUAUGAGUAUAUGAUGCAGAAAUGUAUCAAUUUCACAAAGAACAAGAAAAGAAAGUGGAAAAGGGGAUCAAGGGAAGAAAUGAGGGCAAGAGAAAUAUUUUAUUCAUAUAUUCAAUAGGUACUUAUU